CCUGGUGGCAAUAGCGGCGUGGAACCACCCGACCCCAUCUCGAACUCGGAAGUGAAACGCGCCAGCGCCGAUGGUAGUGCGGCAAUAGCCGUGUGAGAGUAGGUCACUGCCAGGC
rfam:Wenzhouxiangella marina strain KCTC 42284, complete genome.